rnacentral:rRNA from 1 species
GUGAGUAAUGCCUAGGAAUCUGCCUAGUGGUGGGGGAUAACGUUCGGAAACGGACGCUAAUACCGCAUACGUCCUACGGGAGAAAGGGGGGGACCUUCGGGCCUCGCGCCAUUAGAUGAGCCUAGGUCGGAUUAGCUAGUUGGUGAGGUAAUGGCUCACCAAGGCGACGAUCCGUAACUGGUCUGAGAGGAUGAUCAGUCACACUGGAACUGAGACACGGUCCAGACUCCUACGGGAGGCAGCAGUGGGGAAUAUUGGACAAUGGGCGAAAGCCUGAUCCAGCCAUGCCGCGUGUGUGAAGAAGGUCUUCGGAUUGUAAAGCACUUUAAGUUGGGAGGAAGGGUAGUAACUUAAUACGUUGCUACUUUGACGUUACCGACAGAAUAAGCACCGGCUAACUUCGUGCCAGCAGCCGCGGUAAUACGAAGGGUGCAAGCGUUAAUCGGAAUUACUGGGCGUAAAGCGCGCGUAGGUGGUUCAGUAAGUUGGAUGUGAAAUCCCCGGGCUCAACCUGGGAACUGCAUCCAAAACUGCUGAGCUAGAGUACGGUAGAGGGUAGUGGAAUUUCCUGUGUAGCGGUGAAAUGCGUAGAUAUAGGAAGGAACACCAGUGGCGAAGGCGACUACCUGGACUGAUACUGACACUGA